rnacentral:pre_miRNA from 1 species
CUAGUACUCCCUCCGUUCUGAAUUACUUGUCUUAGAUUUGUCUAGAUACGGAGGUAUCUAGCACUAAAAUGAGUCUAGAUACAUCCGUAUCUAGACAAAUCCAAGACAAGUAAUUCGGAACGGAGGGAGUAGGUA